rnacentral:rRNA from 1 species
UACGUAGGGUGCAAGCGUUAAUCGGAAUUACUGGGCGUAAAGCGUGCGCAGGCGGCUUUGCAAGACAGAUGUGAAAUCCCCGGGCCUGCAACCUGGGAACUGCAUUUGUGACUGCAUGGCUAGAGUGCGGCAGAGGGGGAUGGAAUUCCGCGUGUAGCAGUGAAAUGCGUAGAUAUGCGGAGGAACACCGAUGGCGAAGGCAAUCCCCUGGGCCUGUACUGACGCUCAUGCACGAAAGCGUGGGGAGCAAACAGG